UGAUGUCGUUCAAGAAGUUAAUGACCACUGUUGAGGUUGUGAGCUACAAAUACCCAGAGGAGGCAGCGCUUACAUUGGAAUUCCUACAGAAGUAAGCAACACGUAUGUUAUGAAAUGUCUAUCUGUUUAUUUAAUUGAAAAUAAUGAAGUAUAUUGUAAGACACAGAUGAUCUGAUAAGCUCGUUUGACAGAUGUAAAUGGAGACCAUUGGAAAUGUAAGUUAAGCAAUUUAUAAACAAAUAUUUUAAUUGGCAAGUAUUAGGGUUAACAGUUAAUUUAAUGAACUUAAAAUACUGUAUGAUUGAUUUUCCAUCUCCAACCUGCAUGUUACUCUGUAGUUCAGUUUCAUUCAUUUCAUUUUUAUCAUUAUCCAUUUCUUUUAGAAUUUUCCUGUGAAGAAAUCCUAAAUGAGGGUUGAGGUGAAGGCAACCAGGUGAUGGGCAGUUCAAGAUUGCUGUCGUUUGAGAAGUUAAUGAACAAAUCUUCUUUCCUGUUGCGGUUGUGAGCUACAAAAUACCCAGAGGAGGCGGCACUUACUCUGGAGUUCAUACAGAAAAUUUUCCUGUGAAGAAAUCCUGAACGUGGUUUGAGAUGAAGGCAACCAAGAGGCUAUGCAGUCCUCCAAGAGUCUUGCAUGAACAAUUUCAAAAAUCCAUGUAAUAUUUGAGUUUUUAAAUUGAAAAAAAU